UAUGAAGGCCCUACCGUAUGAUGUAACUGAAGAAACUCUCCCAGAGUACAAAUCAAACAAGGUCGCAAAGCUAGCCAAGAAACUCGUAGAUGACCAGAAGGUA